rnacentral:rRNA from 1 species
AUGUAUCCAAUAGCUUGGGCAAUAGUAGAGGUUGAGAGCUAUGAGUCCUGGUACUGGUUCAUUGGGUUUCUUCAAAAAGAUCUCCAGAUAAACAACAAUGGUGAAGGAUGGGUUCUCAUCUCUGAUCAACAGAAAGUGAGCUAA